rnacentral:tRNA from 1 species
AGAAAUUUAGGUUAAAAAAACCAAGAACCUUCAAAGUUCUAGAUAAAGUAAAAUAUUUUAAUUUCUG